GGGCUGAAUUAGAAAAGCGGUGGUCCACAGAGAGACACGCGGAGUCGGAUUUCAGUUUUGCGAGGGCCCCUUGAGUCCGAAUCACUGAAGCUGCCUUUGUUUGACUGUGAACCAGAAAGAGAGAGAGAGAGGAGGAGGAGGAGGAGGAGAGUGUGAGGCUUUUAGUUUGGAGUGAGUGAGUGGGGCAGGCAGAGUGAGCUCCAUCUCUCUCUCUUACACAUGAACAGGACAACUUUAGUUUGGAUCUAAGCUUACCGUCACUGAAGAUGACUUCACGCAUUCCUCCCUGGUUCUUUGGAAUAUUUCUGCUAGUGCUCCGGUUCUGCAGCCAUCGCUCCUCCGCUCAGCUGUUGGAAGACGUGGUUCUG